CCGUCCUGGAAAUAAAUGACAUGUAUUGCAUUGAAGAAAUGGAAUGGACCUGCUGGACUGUAUUUACACAAACCGAAGUGAAUCAUCCAGUGAAGGAAAAAUACCUAGAUAAAGCUUGUCUGAUUUGGCUGGUCAUGUGAUCUCAUCAUGAUUGGCCAAUGAUCCACCCCAGCUUCGGUAAGUAAAACUCUAUUGACAUGAUGUCAACAUGAUUUUAUGAAUAUAUUUUUCAAACUACUGUUUUUUCUUUCUUUUUUUUUAAAAGUGAAAGAAUAGACUCUACCUCUUCCACGGUGUCCAUCUCAGUGCUGUAUGAAGUCAGGUACUCUCCAAAAGGCUGGAUCGGUGUGAUUUUAAAGUGGUCAAUCAGCUCUGCGAGACUGUUAUGAGUGGUAGAAUCACCAGAAACGACAAACAGGCCAGUUUUCGUUUGAUUUAUGACAAAAUGCCGACAACGAUCCUGACCUCUGUCAACAUUAAACAUUGAAGAACUGUUUUAGAACCAUUAUCUACAUUUUUGACACAAUAAAGAAUAUAAAAUGAUUAUAUUAUGUAUCACAUUACAAUUUACAAUACACAUUCAAAGUCCCAUUUGAUAAUAUCUCUUUAGUUAUAGUGAACCAUUAAGAAACAAUGCUUGUACAGAAAACUAAAUAGCUCAGUAACAUCAAAUUGUCAACAUUAAGUCUUCUUUUUUUUAAUAAAAUUUUUUUCUGGUCUCUAACCAGACAACCAAUAGUUGUAUUAUGUGAACUAACAUUUAAAGACAAUUAUUAAAUGCUGUGCAACAUGA